UACGGAGGAUGCAAGCGUUAUCCGGAAUGAUUGGGCGUAAAGCGUCCGCAGGUGGCUAUGUAAGUCUGCUGUUAAAGAGUGAGGCUCAACCUCAUAAGAGCAGUGGAAACUACAUGGCUAGAGUGCGUUCGGGGCAGAGGGAAUUCCUGGUGUAGCGGUGAAAUGCGUAGAGAUCAGGAAGAACACCGGUGGCGAAAGCGCUCUGCUAGGCCGCAACUGACACUGAGGGACGAAAGCCAGGGGAGCGAAUGGG
rnacentral:rRNA from 1 species